UUGGCUUGAAAGACACGGGUAGUGAGAUGUUAUUUUAUAAACUUCUUACUACCCUGUCUUUCGAGCGGAU
rfam:Octopus bimaculoides Scaffold40646_contig_8, whole genome shotgun sequence.